ensembl:lncRNA
AGAUCCUUUCUCUUGGAGUCCUUCUGUGAGCCCAGGACAUGGGGCAUGGAUCCAUGUGUCUCUGUGUCCCUCCAUUCCGCUAUUCACAGAACUGGGCCAAACCAGCCAGCAUGCUGUUGACACAAUGCCAAUGUAGCUGCCAGUAAUAUGCAUUGCAGCUGAUUUUGAAAACCUGAGUCAAGACAGAAGAUACUGGCCUUCUACAGCAGUCAGCUUUUGUGCGAUUAUCUUGCAAAGAGAUAUUUUAUCACUUCUACUUGUCUUCAAAGCUCUGGACAACAAAAAUAUAUAAAUGAUUGGGGUUGCAAUCCAUAACAAAUUUAGUAUGCAUAUAAACAACAUUUUAUGUUAGAUGCACUAGCCAGAGGAAUAUAAACAACCCCUCAAGUAAGGUUUUCAUCACUGACAGAUGGGACGGAAAUGCACAGAAUCCCAUAGGUCAUUGUAACUAGAUUCUAACACCUCACAUGCUACAUGUUGUGCACUAUGAGAAGAGAAAAGCCUGAGAAGCAGGGAAAUCACUCAAAGCAAAUCCAGCAAGUCAAAACAGCAAGAGAGGGGGAAAGAAAAAAAAAAAAUGAGACUGUGUUUUUACAAAUUCAGAAUUAAAGGAUAUUCAGGGUUGGAAGGGAUCUCUGUAGGUCAUCUUAUGCAACCCCCCUGCUUCAAAAAGGACACCUAAGGUUGUCUGGAGCCAUGCCAGGAUGGCAGUUCAGACUGAACUGAACAUAUACUGUGUUGCCUGUAGAUCAAGAACAGCAGCUGGCAGAAGAUUGUUGAAGAAACAACAUUGCAGGUAGUCAGUAAGUAAUGGAUGGAUGGAAGAUGUCUACAAAUAACAAGUCUGUAUUCUUUCUAAAGGUGUAGAGUCAAACCAACUAAAACAGAAUAAUGAGCAAUACUUGGUUGGUUUAUUCAAGUCUGUUACUACUAACCUUUCCACCUUCAAUACUUAAGCUACAAAUCCUGAGGUAGACAUAUGCAGUUUCAAGUCUGACAAGCUAGCAUGUUUUUUUGAAACAACAUUCUUGAUCUUCUCCUCUGAAAUAUUCUAUGUGUCUCAUUACCAUUCCACUACAAGCAUGGUGCAUGUUUCUUCAUCAUCACCUGCUUAUGCUCUUACACCCUUCCAACUCUUUCAUCAAGAAAUGAUGAAAUAAUUUAUUCUUAUUUCCAUACAGUAUCUGCUCUGGUCAUGUCAAUCCACACAGAGACUAUACCAGCAUUAUACACGUGUCUAUAUGUUAUUUUAUAGCUCAAUUAUAACUUCUACACAGUUACACCGUAUGUAUUCCUCAUAAUGCCACUUGGCUGUAAACUUAAUUUCUCUCAAGUUUAUAUGGAAGGAUGGUUUCCUCCUUCUGGAAGGAAGUAAAUAACUUGAGCUACAGCAGUAGUUCAUGUGCCAAAAGUAUAGAUACUUCUAGUCAUAAACCAAUGGUUAGAUUGGGUACACAAACUCCACAUGAAAUAUUAGGCUGAUCAAUUCAUUUGUAGGCAAGGUGUACAGCUUCUCAAACUGUACUGUGAUGACUGUGGCCUUGAUUUCCUAAGAGUAUGAUGAUCCUAAUAUGAAUAAGAGCAUCUUGUAUGCAAAACGGCAAAGAGAUUAUAUGCAUAGAGAAAGGAAUGAUUAAAAAAAUUGCAUAACAUGAACUCAAAACUAUUAUGUGAAAGCAAAAAGUUUCUGGAACCUGUCAGAAAAAAAAGAAAAAAAGAAACAACAGAUAUGACCCAGAAUUCUUUUCAAGGUGAAACAGCAGAGAAUUUGUCUGAAACCUUUCCAAAGCCUUUUGUGAAUUAAUUUCAGUUCUACAGCAUUUUCUUCCAGUAUUAGAUGUUUUAGGGUUCUGACCUACACAAAUGUAUGAUAACAAAUUUCACUCCCUGAAGUAUUGAAUGUUGACCUUCCAUAUUUCUGUCACUUCCAG